GUGUUGGUGGUAUAGUGGCGAGCGUAGCUGCCUUCCUAGCAGUUGACUUGGGUUUGAUUCCCAGCCAACGCG
rnacentral:tRNA from 1 species